rnacentral:rRNA from 1 species
GAUGAACGCUGGCGGCGUGCCUAAUACAUGCAAGUCGAGCGAACAGACGAGGCGCUUGCUCCUUUGACGUUAGCGGCGGACGGGUGAGUAACACGUGGAUAACCUACUUAUAUGACUGGGAUAACUUCGGGAAACCGGAGCUAAUACCGGAUAAUAUAUUGAACCGCAUGGUUCAAUAGUGAAAGACGGUUUUGCUGUCACUUAUAGAUGGAUCCGCGCCGCAUUGGCUAGUUGGUAAGGUAACGGCUUACCAAGGCAACGAUGCGAAGCCGACCUGAGAGGGGGAUCGGCCACACUGGAACUGAGCCACGCUCCAGACCCCUAGGGAGGGCCGCAGUAGGAAAUCUUCCGCACUGAGCGAAAGCUUGACGGAGCAACGCCGCGUGAGUAAUGAAGGUCUUCGGAUCGUAAAACUCUGUUAUUAGGGAAGAACAAAUGUGUAAGUAACUAUGCACGUCUUGACGGUACCUAAUCAGAAAGCCACGGCUAACUACGUG